GUAACACAUGAUGACCUUUUUAUACCGCCCCAGUCUGAUUUGUAAUCUGACUGAUUGGUACCCCUCUGAUUUUUA